CAAGUCGAACGCUUCUUUUCCCACCGGAGCUUGCUCCACCGGGAAAAGAGGAGUGGCGAACGGGUGAGUAACACGUGGGUAACCUGCCCAUCAGAAGGGGAUAACACUUGGAAACAGGUGCUAAUACCGUAUAACAAUCGAAACCGCAUGGUUUCGUUUUGAAAGGCGCUUUACGGUGCCGCUGAUGGAUGGACCCGCGGUGCAUUAGCUAGUUGGUGAGGUAACGGCUCACCAAGGCCACGAUGCAUAGCCGACCUGAGAGGGUGAUCGGCCACAUUGGGACUGAGACACGGCCCAAACUCCUACGGGAGGCAGCAGUAGGGAAUCUUCGGCAAUGGACGAAAGUCUGACCGAGCAACGCCGCGUGAGUGAAGAAGGUUUUCGGAUCGUAAAACUCUGUUGUUAGAGAAGAACAAGGGUGAGAGUAACUGUUCACCCCUUGACGGUAUCUAACCAGAAAGCCACGGCUAACUACGUGCCAGCAGCC
rnacentral:rRNA from 1 species